AACGGCGCGGGCAGCACCUCACUGCUCGGCCCUCCACGGCCGACCCUGUUCACAGCUCCACAGCUAGAAUCGUCCUUUUGAAACCUUCACCCAAUCUUCCGCAAUCCUCUGGUGGUGCGGGGUUCACAGGAAGAGUAAAGGCUGAACUUGUCGUGGUCAGCAGCACCCCGCGGAGCCCGCCUGCCCCUGAGAUCUAAGGACGUCGCAUCCAGGAUCAGAACUGGUCUCGUCUCGGAGCCCGAGCAGGCACGGCACCGUUCCAGCACCACACAGUUUUAUUUCUCGGGGUCUUUUGCUUCGCGUUCACUCUGGUCCCCCGAGACCUUUCUCAUCCGAGUCACCUCCCAGCACCCCCGGGACCGGUGGCCUCGGCAGGCAGCUGCAGGGCCCUUGCCGGGACAGAGCCCAGCCCCGAGCGUGGGAGUCGGGCCCUGGCAGGGAACAUCCGCGGGGGAGGGGUCUCGCAGAGCUGAUGAGAAAUCCACUCUUCUGCGUAACUAAG
rnacentral:lncRNA from 1 species